rnacentral:tRNA from 1 species
UCCUAGUUAGUACAACGGUUAGUAUAUGUCGCUCUCAUUUGCGUAAGCUAUGUGGCGCCGACAAGACCCGGGUUCGACUCCCGGAUUGGGAA